AUUGGAAAAACCAUAGCUUACUAUAUGGACCUGGCUUGUUUACAUAUUGGGGGCCCGCCGCCAACCACAGCCAUGGUGUCCUGACCAAGGGAACAUGUGACCCCAGGUUAGCAGGGGUAUCUGGGGACUGUGUCUCACCCCAUCUGUGUGGGUCAAAAUCAUGUGCAGAGGGAGACCAUAUACACAAAACUAAGAAAAAGGGAAGAAUACAUGUGAGCUCCACUUGUGUUUAGGAAUUAAUGCUUUUCAGUGUCAUUUUAUACAGGCCUGUGCCUCUUCCCUCUUCACUCCUGUGAGGUUCCCCAUCCCUGGGGCUCCUGGAGACUCCUCAGGAGAGCUACCUGGUAAUUAUUCCAAUUCACCAGCACAAGCAUGACAAGAAGAGAGCAGGUUUACCUGGCCAGUUGAUUGCAGGGCACAUGGAUCAGGAAAAAAACCAAGGGGCAGCAGGUGAGGUUGCUGCUGUGAUCUCCUUGCAGUAGAGCGUCCAUACUCAGCAGAGACCAGACCUGCCCCUCACCUUCCAGCCCAGCAUCUGGGGUGUUUUCACGGCACCUCAGCAGGACAACAAAAGACCAAGACUGCCAGAACCAAGGUAGUGUGUUCAACAUUAUCAUGACGGCUGUAAAAACAAUUACUAUUACACAGGACUGAAGGGAAAAGAGGAGGACUUCUCUGGGACAAGUGUGGGGGAAGGAGACUGACCAACGCUUCUAUCUACCAAACCAGGAGGUUACAGGAACUCACUCGUUUCUGCCAUAGGGGCCCAACCAGCAGAGACCUGGUGUCCUAACCAAGCCUCUUGCCACCCCAGAUGCAGGCUCUGGGAGGGGGCGUCACCCUAGAGACUGGAUGUGUGACCCUAGGUGCAGGGUCUGGGGAGGUACAAGUCUGGGAGGUGGGGUCACCUCAGAGACUGUGGACAUAUGACCUCAGGUGCGGAGUCUGGGGUGGGGGUCACCCGAGAGACUGUGGCUGUGUGACCCCAGGUGCAGGGUCUGGGGGGUCACCCUGGAGACUGUGGAUGUGUGACCCCAGGUGCAGGGUCUGGGAGGUGUGGUCACCCUGGAGACUGUGGCUGUGUGACCCCAGGUGCAGGGUCUGGGGGGCUCACCCUGGAGACUGUGGCUGUGUGACCCCAGGUG
ensembl:lncRNA